CGUGUAGGCGGUCUUCCAAGUCGGGUGUGAAAGCCCUCGGCUCAACCGAGGAAUUGCAUCCGAUACUGGUCGACUAGAGUGCGGCAGGGGUGAGUGGAACUCCAGGUGUAGCGGUGAAAUGCGUAGAUAUCUGGAGGAACGCCAAUGGCGAAAGCAACUCACUGGGCCGCAACUGACGCUGAGGCGCGAAAGCUAGGGGAGCGAACAGGAUUAGAUACCCUGGUAGUCC
rnacentral:rRNA from 1 species